GCUAAAAAUCAAACGACUUUCGUCCACACCCAUAAAGACGGAGCGCGGAUUACGCUAGCCGCGACCAAACUUCAUAUUACCGCUUUGCUUGGUAGAGAUCAAGAAAAACUCUCAGCAAAAAUUGAUUCUUUACUAUUAAAAUACAAUUGAAGCACUAUUCACUGUGGUAAUUUGAGAUUGUUCGAAACAAAAAAAAUAUUUAUUAUAAUAAAUUCCUUGUUACGCCAAAGAUUAUUUAUUGAAACAAAAUAUAUAGGUACAGCAGAUUCAUAGAUUAUAAAGAGAAUAACAGAAAUGAUAACAAAA